rnacentral:rRNA from 1 species
GCCAGCAGCCGCGGUAAUACGGAGGGCGCAGGCGUUAAUCGGAAUUACUGGGCGUAAAGCGCACGCAGGCGGUUUGUUAAGUCAGAUGUGAAAUCCCCGGGCUCAACCUGGGAACUGCAUUUGAAACUGGCAAGCUAGAGUCUCGUAGAGGGGGGUAGAAUUCCAGGUGUAGCGGUGAAAUGCGUAGAGAUCUGGAGGAAUACCGGUGGCGAAGGCGGCCCCCUGGACGAAGACUGACGCUCAGGUGCGAAAGCGUGGGGAGCAAACAGGAUUAGAUACCCUGGUAGUCCACGCUGUAAACGAUGUCGAUUUGGAGGUUGUGCCCUUGAGGCGUGGCUUCCGGAGCUAACGCGUUAAAUCGACCGCCUGGGGAGUACGGCCGCAAGGUUAAAACUCAAAUGAAUUGACGGGGGCCCGCACAAGCGGUGGAGCAUGUGGUUUAAUUCGAUGCAACGCGAAGAACCUUACCUACUCUUGACAUCCAGAGAACUUAGCAGAGAUGCUUUGGUGCCUUCGGGAACUCUGAGACAGGUGCUGCAUGGCUGUCGUCAGCUCGUGUUGUGAAAUGUUGGGUUAAGUCCCGCAACGAGCGCAACCCUUAUCCUUUGUUGCCAGCGGUUCGGCCGGGAACUCAAAGGAGACUGCCAGUGAUAGACUGGAGGAAGGUGGGGAUGAC